rnacentral:lncRNA from 1 species
CGGGGGAGCAUCAAUCAGCCCUAAUUCCUCGUGGGGAAGAGCAGUGGGGCUCUCAAGCACACGGGUACCAGAACCCACAGACGUGUGGCAAUGACACAUGGCACUGCAGCCUUGGCUCCACAGGGAGCAGGCACUUGAGGUGACAUUGCCAAAGGGGCUCUGCCUGGAAAAGGACCGGGCCCCAGGGGUGAUGCUGCCACAGGACGAGCCAUAGGACAUGGACACCUGAGGUGACACCGGCACAGGGACAGCCUUGGCUGCGCCGGACACCUGAGGAGACCGGGGCACGGACAGCACCCCCCGGGCUUCCGCGGCCGCCCCCUCCCCUCCGGUUACCUGCGGUGCUCCCCGCUCCGCUCCUGCCGCCCCCGCUGCCGCUGUGGCCGCGGUACGAGCCCCGCACUCCGGCCAGCCCCGCUGCCCGUCCCGCCGCGGCUCCCGCCCGUCGCCACGGUAACGCGGACGGCGGCGGGCGAGGCGGGAAGGCGGCCGGGACAGGGCCGGGACAGGGCCGGGACAGGCCCGGGACAGGGCCGAGAACUGCCCCUAUGGGCGCAGGGGGAGCGGCGCGGACAUCCCGCGGUCACUCCCUGCGUCCCUCCUUCGAUCCGACGUGCCAUUACCACCUUUCUUUCCUUGCUGCCUGAUUCACCCAGCACUGAAGCUGAAUGACACCGGGCACAGUAUUUCAUUGAAGAGAAAACACUGCCAUGCUGCUUUGCCUGUGACAAUCAAAGGCAGGAAUCUUGACAGGAGCUUCUUAAGGAAUCCAUGUGAGAUGGAUGUGUGUGCCUCCACUGGAGAGAAGACUAAUUCUGCUCACAGAGACCCUUCCUACUCUUAAGUCAUCUUUUGGAGAUAGAUUUUUUCACCUUGUUUUCUGAAGUUAAUAUUGCUGAGUGCCAUGAUUGAGACAUUUUACCUGGGAAAUGGGUUUUAGAUUCCAAUGGACAGCUUAUUUUGGUGUGUGCUAUGGAGACUGGGCCACCUGCAUUUUGCAUUUAACUCUGUUUUGGUAGGAGGCGUCCCAGGUAUUCCUCAGAGAAUGACACAGCCUUGCCUGUGGAGAAGCAUGAGGCUGAGUGGAAGUGGGAAAUAACAGUGCUUUGGCACAACUUCUCAGCAUCUUCUCUUGUGCCACGUGCAGAAAUUAAGGCUUUCCAGGUACUUGCCAGUGAAUAAGCAGAUCUGCUCUUACAACUCAGCGCUACCACUCAUACAAACUGUGGUAUACCCUGAUGUUUAUUGCUCCACACACUACCUAACAGCUAUAUGAAACAGCAUAAAAAUGUGCAAUCUAGUGCUUGGUGUGGCUUGGUCACUUAAUUACAAAGGGUUUGAAGGCACUGAGCAUGGGGAGUUAGAAGUACUUAAUAGUGGAUGAAAAGUUUCCUUUUGACUAUCUUUGACUAUCAGUCAGAUGUGAGCUCUGAGCUUUGCUGCUGGAAUAGCUCUUGAAUAAAAUACCAAUAUACUUUCUACCUCCUUGGUUG